rnacentral:tRNA from 1 species
GCCUGCGUGGUGCAACGGUUAAUGCACUCGGCGCGUAUUCGAGAGGUCCAGGUUCAAGUCCCGGCGAAGGCA